rnacentral:lncRNA from 1 species
CAAGUACCACUAAAACAAAGAAAAAAAAAGAAAAAUGGGAGACAUUAGACAAAAGCAUAACACAACUGAAAUUGAGAGAAACAACAUGCACAAUGGCUGCUCCAAAACAGGAAGAAACUAAAGCUUUGGUACAGAGCCGAAAAGGAGGCAGCUGCUCUGUUCAACAUCGAUUUGAGGACAGUUUGGCGCAUUUAGGCAGCCGCACUUGCGCAAAAAGCUAUGGGACAACAUAUUUUGAUUGUAAGGUCGAUAUGACUAAUUCGAAAAUAAUGUGUUUAUCUAAUUAUAUAAAAUUAUUCUUGUUAUUUGAAUUUUUAAUUUUAUUAUUUUGCUUCUGAAAAUUAUUAGUAUAAUAAUAAGAUAUUUUUUUCCACAAUUUCUAAAAUAUAUUUUAAUUCAAUAUUAAUUUGAAGUCAUACUCAUCAUUUCACUUAUUUGUAUUUUAAAUAUAGUAGUAGUAUAAAACAUUUAAAUAUAAAAUUUUAAAAACAAUCAUUUAUAGAAAAUGCGGCUAUCCCUCUCAGGCCCGAAC